rnacentral:rRNA from 1 species
GACGAACGCUGGCGGCGUGCCUAAUACAUGCAAGUCGAGCGGACUGAUUAAGAGCUUGCUCUUAUGACGUUAGCGGCGGACGGGUGAGUAACACGUGGGCAACCUGCCCUGUAGAUCGGGAUAACACCGAGAAAUCGGUGCUAAUACCGGGUAAUAUCUGAGAUCACAUGAUCUUAGGUUAAAAGAUGGCUCCGGCUAUCACUACAGGAUGGGCCCGCGGCGCAUUAGCUAGUUGGUAAGGUAAUGGCUUACCAAGGCGACGAUGCGUAGCCGACCUGAGAGGGUGAUCGGCCACACGGGGACUGAGACACGGCCCAGACUCCUACGGGAGGCAGCAGUAGGGAAUCUUCCGCAAUGGACGAAAGCCUGACGGAGCAACGCCGCGUGAGUGAUGAAGGGUUUCGGCCCGUAAAGCUCUGUUGUUAGGGAAGAAACAGUACCGAACGAACUAGGUCGGUACCUUGACGGUACCUAACCAGAAAGCCACGGCUAACUACGUG